rnacentral:rRNA from 1 species
UACGAAGGGGGCUAGCGUUGCUCGGAAUCAUUGGGCGUAAAGGGCGCGUAGGCGGGUCUUUAAGUUAGGGGUGAAAUCCUGGAGCUCAACUCCAGAACUGCCUUUGAUACUGAAGAUCUUGAGUCCGGGAGAGGUGAGUGGAACUGCGAGUGUAGAGGUGAAAUUCGUAGAUAUUCGCAAGAACACCAGUGGCGAAGGCGGCUCACUGGCCCGGUACUGACGCUGAGGCACGAAAGCGUGGGGAGCAAACAGG